rnacentral:rRNA from 1 species
UGGUGUGACUGCGUACCUUUUGUAUAAUGGGUCAGCGACUUACAUUCAGUAGCAAGGUUAACCGAAUAGGGGAGCCGUAGAGAAAUCGAGUCUUAAUAGGGCGUUUAGUUGCUGGGUGUAGACCCGAAACCAGGCGAUCUAUCCAUGAGCAGGUUGAAGGUUGGGUAACACUAACUGGAGGACCGAACCCACUGUCGUUGAAAAGCCAGGGGAUGACUUGUGGAUAGGGGUGAAAGGCUAAUCAAGCCUGGUGAUAGCUGGUUCUCCCCGAAAGCUAUUUAGGUAGCGCCUCGGACGAAUACCAUUGGGGGUAGAGCACUGUUUCGGCUAGGGGGUCAUCCCGACUUACCAAACCGAUGCAAACUCCGAAUACCAAUGAGUACUAUCCGGGAGACAGACUGCGGGUGCUAACGUCCGUAGUCAAGAGGAAAACAAUCCAGACCGCCAGCUAAGGCCCCAAAAUCAUAGUUAAGUGGGAAACGAUGUGGGAAGGCAUAGACAGCUAGGAGGUUGGCUUAGAAGCAGCCACCCUUUAAAGAAAGCGUAAUAGCUCACUAGUCGAGUCGGCCUGCGCGGAAGAUGUAACGGGGCUAAAACUAUGUGCCGAAGCUGCGGAUGUAUACUUUGUAUACGUGGUAGGGGAGCGUUCUGUAAGCCGAUGAAGGUGUAUUGAGAAGUAUGCUGGAGGUAUCAGAAGUGCGAAUGCUGACGUGAGUAACGACAAAACGGGUGAAAAACCCGUUCGCUGAAAGACCAAGGGUUCCAGUCCAACGUUAAUCGGGGCUGGGUGAGUCGACCCCUAAGGCGAGGCCGAGAGGCGUAGUCGAUGGGAAAUUGGUUAAUAUUCCAAUACUUCUGUGUAAUGCGAUGAGAGGACGGAGAAGGUUAAGUCAGCCUGGCGUUGGUUGUCCAGGUGGAAGACAGUAGGCAUGCAUCUUAGGCAAAUCCGGGGUGCUCUAUGCUGAGAGUCGAUAGCAAGCUGUACUUGUACAGUGAAGUGGCUGAUACCAUGCUUCCAGGAAAAGUCUCUAAGCUUCAGUUACACAGGAAUCGUACCCGAAACCGACACAGGUGGUCAGGUCGAGUAGACCAAAGCGCUUGAGAGAACUCUGCUGAAGGAACUAGGCAAAAUGGUACCGUAACUUCGGGAGAAGGUACGCUGCUGACGGUGAUGGGACUUGCUCCCUGAGCGGUUGGCAGCCGCAGAAACCAGGCCGCUGCAACUGUUUAUUAAAAACAUAGCACUCUGCAAACACGAAAGUGGACGUAUAGGGUGUGAUGCCUGCCCGGUGCUGGAAGGUUAAUUGAUGGGGUUAGCGUAAGCGAAGCUCUUGAUCGAAGCCCCAGUAAACGGCGGCCGUAACUAUAACGGUCCUAAGGUAGCGAAAUUCCUUGUCGGGUAAGUUCCGACCUGCACGAAUGGCAUAAUGAUGGCGGCGCUGUCUCCAGCAGAGGCUCAGUGAAAUCGAAAUCGCUGUGAAGAUGCAGUGUACCCGCGGCUAGACGGAAAGACCCCGUGAACCUUUACUGCAGCUUGACAUUGAACUUUGACCUUACUUGUGUAGGAUAGGUGGGAGGCUUUGAAGUUGGAACGCUAGUUCCAAUGGAGCCGUCCUUGAAAUACCACCCUGGUAAUGUUGAGGUUCUAACUCUGCCCCGUAAUCCGGGGCGAGGACCAUGUCUGGUGGGUAGUUUGACUGGGGCGGUCUCCUCCUAAAGAGUAACGGAGGAGUACGAAGGUGCGCUCAGCGUGGUCGGAAAUCACGCGUAGAGUAUAAAGGCAAAAGCGCGCUUAACUGCGAGACCCACAAGUCGAGCAGGUACGAAAGUAGGUCUUAGUGAUCCGGUGGUUCU